UGUCUUGCCAACAGCAGUACUUAAACGAACAUUAAAGAUGAACCUUAUCUACUUAUAUUUUUCAGACUGUCUUCUAAGUUGACUGCGGAAAGUGCAAAACUAUUAUCAGCAUGAUGUUGUGUUCAGUUACUGCACAUUGCAAAGUGAAUGUUCUCAGUGACUGUUACUGCAAUGAUUCACUUGAAAUGAUAUUUCCUACCACCAGUUUAUGGUUUGUGAGUGGAAGUUGUCAGCUACUUGCAGAGAGAACUUAGUCCAUUAAGCACUAGACACAUUGGAUACAGCCAUGAAACAAAUGACUGAUAGAUGUAUGAAAAACAGACAAAAAGUUUCAACAGAUUCAAAGGUGGGGUAAAACAGAACCUUCAAAACAAAUCAUUCUAUUGACUGUAAAAUAUGAAAAAUAAAGAGUUGUUGUUCUGUAACUUGUUGAUAUUUUUACCUAAAUUUCAUUUACUAUCCACUAAACUUUGUUAGGCCAUACAAGAUAAUUCAA